rnacentral:lncRNA from 1 species
CUUUUAUUUUCUGUUCCUCUAAGGGAAGAGAGACCAAAGAGAAUUCUACUUUGACCCUGGCUUAAGAGUGGAACAUAGAUGUCUAUAAAACUAUGUGGUACCAGCAUGUUAUGAAGAAUAAGCAAGAAGAAGAAAGAGAAGGAGAAGAAGCUGGAGGAGGAGGAGAGAAGGAAAAGGAGGAGGAGGAGGAGGAGAAAAAGAUGGUGGUAGAGGAGGAGGAGAAGAAGAAGAAGGAGGAGAAGGAGAAGGAGAAGAAGGAGCAGGAGGAGGAGGAAGAAGAAGAGGAGAAGGGAACUCACAUGCUACCUGUGUGAGUCACAUGUCAGUGCAAUUUCUGGAGGUCAAUUGUAGCCCUGAAGUCUCAGAACAAUGGCAAAAAGAAAUACGGAGGGCAUGAUACAUUUGGCAGACUAAAAUUCUCAAGAUUCCUAUGCAGUCGAGUUUUACCAUAUGACUGAGUUCCAACAAAGAAAUAUGAGUAGAAGAUUGUAUAAGCAUCAUUUUUGACCCAGGGCUUUAAGAAGCAGACUAUGGAAAUGAUGUUAGACAAAAAGCAAAUUUGAGCAAUUUUGUUAUUCGGGUUCAAAAUGGGUCGUAAAGCAGCAGAGACAACUCUCAAAACAUCAGCAACACAUUUGGCGCGGGAACUGCUAAUGAACGUACAGUGGAGUGGUGGUUCAAGAAGUUUUGCAAAGGAAACAAGAGGCUUGAAGAUGAAGAGUGUAGUGGCCAGCCAUUGGAAGUAGACAACGACAAAUUGAGAGCAAUCAUUGAAGCUGAUCCUCUUACAAUUACAGGAGAAGUUGCCUAAGAACUCAACAUCAAUCAUUCUAUAGUAGUUUGGCAUUUGAAGCAGAUCGGAAAGGUGAAAAAGCAGCAAAAACUUUAAAAAAUUGUUGUUUUGAAGUGACGUCUUCUCUUAUUUUACACAACAAUGAACCAUUUCUGGAUCGAAUUAUGACAUGUGAUGAAAAGUGGAUUUUAUAUGACAAGCUGCAAAAACCAGCUCAGUGGAUGGAUGGAGAAGAAGCUUCAAAGCACUUCCCAAAGCUGAACUUGCACCAACAAAAGCUCAUGGUCACAAUUUAGUGGUCUGCUGCCAGCCUGAUCUACUACAGCUUUCGGAAUCCCAGCGAAACCAUUAUGUCUGAGAAAUAUGCUCAGCAAAUCAAUGAGAUGUGCCAAAAACUGCAAGGCCUGCAGCCGGCAUUGGUCAACCAAAAGGAUCCAAUUCUUCUCUACCACAACGCCUGACCACAUGUCACAUAACCAACCCUUCAAAAGUUGAAUAAAUUGGGCUACAAAAUUGCCUUAUCUGCCAUAUUCACCUGACCUCUCACCAACCAACUACCACUUCUUCAGUUUGUCUCUUCCAGAAUCAAAGCUGUAAAACUACAAAUCGUUCUUCAAAUGGAGCCCCAGAUGCAGUCCAUGACUAAGAUCUACUGCGGACCUCUGGACCAGUCUGGUAGCCCAGCUCCAACGUUAAUGACAUCAAAGGCACCCCUCCCAAGGAAAUCUCAACUGCAUGACACCUACUAUGCCCCAGUUCAGCAGGAAGCAGUUAGAGUGGUCGUUGGCCAACCUCCCCAACAGCACUUGGGUUUUCCUGUUGAGAUGGGGGACUGAGAGACAGGACUAGCUGGAUUUCCUAGGCCAACUAAGAAUCCCUAAGCCUAGCUGGGAAGGUGACUACAUCCACCUUUAACCACUAGGCUUGCAACUUAGCUCACACCCGACCAAUCAGGUAGUAAAGAGAGCUUGCUAAAAUGCUAAUUAGGCAAAAACAGGAGGUAAAGAAAUAGCCAAUCAUCUAUCACCUGACAGCACAAGGGGCAGGACAAUGAUCAGGAUAUAAACUCAGGCAUUCAAGCCAGCAAUGGCUACCCACUUUGGGUCCCCUCCCAUUUUAUGGGAACUCUGUUUUCACUCUAUUAAACCUUUCAACUACCAAAAAGAAAAAAGAAAAGAAAAACAAUUAACUUUUUUAUAUAUCAGUUAAAUUCAUCCAUGAUGUUUUUUAUGUUUUCUGUAUUCUUACUGGUCAUUUUUCUAUUUGUUCUAUCAGCUAUCCAGGAAUAUGUGUUAAAGAUGUCCACUUCAAUUGUGAAUUUCUUGAGUUGUUCUUUCAGUUUUGUUCUUUUUUUACCUUAUGCAUUUUGAAAUAUUUACCUUAUGCAUUUGAAAUACCUUAUGUAUUAUUUCCUGCAUACAAAUGUAGAAUUGUGGUGUCAUUCUUUUGGAGUAAACCAUGAUCAUUACUGGCAUGACUUACUUAAUAUCUAGACAUGCUGAUUGCUUCAAUUUCUAUUUUAAUCUUAAUAAAAAUACACCAACUUUUU